rnacentral:lncRNA from 1 species
CCCACGCCAGGCCCGCGCCGCACCCCGCCUCUCCCAGGAACACGGCAACGCCGGGCCGGGCCGGGCCGGGCCCCGCCGCGCCGCGCCGCGCCGCUCCGCGGAGCCGCCCGGAGCGCCCCUACCUGUGCCGGGCUCACAUCCUCGGGCCGAGGCCAGCGCUGCCCCCCCGGCGCCGCUCCGGCUACGGCCCCCGCCCGAAGUUUGCCUGCCUUGCGCGGGGCUGAAGGACUGUUGACCCUACAGAAGUUUUCGAAUCAAAUUCUCCCUGCAGACUGACUUGAGUGAAUGACCUCCAAACUUGGCCUACUGGGAUGGAGAGAGAUCCUAACACCGAUAUAUGGAGGAGGUCACUGGGGAUUUGUGCUAAUAGGCCCAUCUGUAAACCGGCAAACUGGAAUUCAACGCAUGUCGUGUUUGGCCAUCCCAUCUGCAUGGUGACAGGACAAUUACAUGGCCUCUGCUCCGUGUGGACCCUUUGGUGUUUCAUCACUAUUGACCAGCAGCUAAACCUUUUGCAUAAUCAGGACAGCAGUGGAGCUUCUCC